GAGUUUGAUCGUGGCUCAGGAUGAACGCUGGCGGCGUGCCUAAUACAUGCAAGUCGAGCGAACAGACGGGGAGCUUGCUCCCCUGACGUUAGCGGCGGACGGGUGAGUAACACGUGGGUAACCUACCUAUAAGACUGGAAUAACUCCGGGAAACCGGGCUAAUGCCGGAUAACAUGUUGGACCGCAUGGUCCUACAGUGAAAGACGGUCUUGCUGUCACUUAUAGGUGGACCCGCGCCGUAUUAGCUAGUUGGUAAGGUAACGGCUUACCAAGGCAACGAUACGUAGCCGACCUGAGAGGGUGAUCGGCCACACUGGAACUGAGACACGGUCCAGACUCCUACGGGAGGCAGCAGUAGGGAAUCUUCCGCAAUGGGCGAAAGCCUGACGGAGCAACGCCGCGUGAGUGAUGAAGGCC
rnacentral:rRNA from 1 species